AAGAGAUGGCGACCGGCGCACGGGUGAGUAACACGUAUCCAACCUGCCGAUAACUCCGGAAUAGCCUUUCGAAAGAAAGAUUAAUACCGGAUGGCAUACGAAUAUCGCAUGAUAUUUUUAUUAAAGAAUUUCGGUUAUCGAUGGGGAUGCGUUCCAUUAGUUUGUUGGCGGGGUAACGGCCCACCAAGACUACGAUGGAUAGGGGUUCUGAGAGGAAGGUCCCCCACAUUGGAACUGAGACGCGGUCCAA
rnacentral:rRNA from 1 species